GCUCCCCCUCUCCCCGCCCGCCGGCCCCUCCAGCCUCCUCCAAGGCGGCGGACCAGGCCGGGCCGGAGUUUUCGGGGUUCAGCCCGCGAGCGGGAGGACCGGGGAGGCGAGGGAGGAGGAAGGCGAGAAGGGCCAGAUCGCGGGAGAGCCCAAUCACGGGGCGAGCUGGACCUGGCUGUGAUCAUUUAUAAUCCUUGACUCCUCCGCUCCGCCACUUGUCAAGAUGACAGGGGUCAUCCGUGAAUAACACUUCACGCUGAUGAAUGGCUCUUGCCGGCUUUCGGCUCUGAUGAGGGGUCUGCCCGCCGCCGAUUGAAAACACUAAUGAACUUACUGCGCCAUUUGAAAUUCACACGCACCAACAAAAUGGGGGUACGUGCGUGGGGGUCUGUCCUUUUCUGCUGCGGGUGGCGGGGAGGCGGCCCUGGGGGAGGGGGCGGGUAA
rnacentral:lncRNA from 1 species